UAGGGAAUCUUCCACAAUGGACGAAAGUCUGAUGGAGCAACGCCGCGUGAGUGAUGAAGGGUUUCGGCUCGUAAAACUCUGUUGUUGGAGAAGAACAGGUGUGAGAGUAACUGUUCACAUCUUGACGGUAUCCAACCAGAAAGCCACGGCUAACUACGUGCCAGCAGCCGCGGUAAUACGUAGGUGGCAAGCGUUGUCCGGAUUUAUUGGGCGUAAAGCGAGCGCAGGCGGUUUCUUAGGUCUGAUGUGAAAGCCUUCGGCUUAACCGGAGAAGUGCAUCGGAAACCAGGAGACUUGAGUGCAGAAGAGGACAGUGGAACUCCAUGUGUAGCGGUGAAAUGCGUAGAUAUAUGGAAGAACACCAGUGGCGAAGGCGGCUGUCUGGUCUGUAACUGACGCUGAGGCUCGAAAGCAUGGGUAGCGAACAGGAUUAGAUACCCUGGUAGUCCAUGCCGUAAACGAUGAGUGCUAAGUGUUGGGAGGCUUCCGCCUCUCAGUGCUGCAGCUAACGCAUUAAGCACUCCGCCUGGGGGAGUACGACCGC
rnacentral:rRNA from 1 species